rnacentral:misc_RNA from 1 species
ACAGAAAACAAUGAAAAUGUGAGUUGGACCAAGGAAAAGACUAAAGUAGAGAAGAGGCAUUUAGCAUCUCCAGACAUUAAUGGAAACACACUAACACAGCCCUAAAUCAAGUUAGAUGGAAGAAAAGGAUCUAUAGCCAAUUCUCCUAAAUUGAAUUUCAGCAUGACUUGAGACAUAAUUAAAAAAGAGAAAUAUAAAUAUGAUCCUCAUAUAAUUACAAUGUAAUUAGAACUAUAACAUUAUCACAAUAGAAAUCAUAAUAUAA